rnacentral:lncRNA from 1 species
ACCCUAAUUUUUAUUUUUCUUCAUCAACCCUACCUACAAGUUUCCGCCUGUACUUUUCUUGUGAACCCUAAUUUUAUUUAUUCCCAAGUUUCUUGAUUAUAUCUAUCAAUAUAUAAAUAUGUAUGUAUAUAUAGAUAUAUGGAUAAUCCAUUUUCAUAAUAUAUAUUGUGUAUUUCUUACCUAAUUAGUUCUGAUUUUUCUGCAGAUUUUGUGAGAAGUCC